GUGCUCGCUCCAGCAGUACAUAUACUAAAAUUGGAACCAUACAGAGAAGAUUAGCACGGCCCCUGCGCAAGGAUGACACACAAAUUCAUGAAGUGUUCCAUAUUUAA
rnacentral:snRNA from 1 species